rfam:Fervidicoccus fontis Kam940, complete genome.
GCCGCCGUAGCUCAGCAGGCAGACGCAACGGCCUAAAGCGCCAGCCUUGUAAGCUGGUGGUCGCGGGUUCGAGUCCCGCCGGCGGCU